UCCACCGGAUCAUUCUGCCUUUCUCAAAUAACCCCAAUGUUAUACAUCACUCUCUCUCCUUCAGUGGUACAACCCAUCAAAUUUAUGUGGCAAGAUAAUCUGUAUCAUCAACAGAGUAAAAAUCUUUUGGGAGAAUAUCAAUUUAUCUUAUCUUGGUGAUUUUGGAUCUAUUAUUCAAGAUGUGGGGCUACUAUGUUGUCUAUUAGUAUCAUCUUCCACAAACCUGGCAAGAAAAUAACAAGACUACAAGAGGUGUACAAAAAUUGGUACGAACACUAUCCUUAUAAAAAAAUUGACUGCAAGAAAGAUUCAGUAGAAGCUGACAUUUUACACGUCAGAAAAAUCUAUCGCAUUAACUUGAUUUUGUGCAGCACCAUGGUUGAUACGCAAAAAAAUAUUGAGGAUAUUAUUACAAAAAAUCACUAAUAAUAUAGAAGACUUUCACCAUCCUUUUUAUGUUUUUUUCUCUCUUUUAUGGUGUGUAUUUAUUUUAUCUUUUUACUCUCUCUCUAUGAAUGAAAUGUUACAAGUGUCUUGCAACUUUUACUUUUUUUUGCAUAAAAGUUUAUGGAGUAUGUACUUCUCCCAAAUUUCUUUUAAAAGAUAAUUUCUUUAAGUGAAAGGUUUCUCCCAUAUUAUCAUAUUUAACAGUAAAGAGAUUUCUGGACAGAAUGACACUAACAUAAAAGGAAGCUUUGAUGACCUUGCCGACUACUAUAUAGUAUGAGAGUCUUCACUUGGGUAUAAGGCUUAAAAUUUUCUUCUUGUGAUGCACAACUCUUGGUAUUAAGUUUCUCUAUGUCAUCCCUUUCAACCAAUUUCCUCUUUUGAUCUGUAUCAUUCUUCUCACUUGUAUUUUUUGUCUGCAGAGUCUAUGGGAGCUAUAUAUUCUCUUCGAUAGUAUUUUACUCUUUUUUCUGACAACAUUACCAUUUAUGAAUAAGCAUGAUACUAAUUUAUGAUUUCGAGAUUCAUUUUCCUUCUGUAAUUACGCACUAGUCUUUGCACAACUGGGAUGGCCUGAUAUGAUAAAUUACCCAUAUAUAUUUCAUACUUUCUGGAACAUAAUUAGCAUGGUCUUGAUCUUUUCAAGUAAAGACCAUUCUUCUUUCUGAAUGAUUUUUUUUUCUAAGCUCACUAGAUAUCUAUAUUUGGUUACAAUUUUAUUUAUUUACUUCCAAAUAUAACUAAACUUUGGAUAUUUCCUUUCCACUAAGUAUAAGUAAUAUUGAGUAUAAUGGUACAUAUUCAGAUUAUUGAUAUUUGAAGCCUUUGAUAGUGUUAAAUGUCCAUCCAUGAAUAUGACUGAUGUUGCUAGGCAAGUUGCAGAGACCAUGACUGAAGUUUGUGAGUGCAACAAAUGAAAAGGCGGUGACAUUAUGUUUUUAGUGAGAGGUGUUUAUUUUCAACUUAAAAAAAAAGAUGUAUGCACUUAAUGGAGUUCUAGAAGGAUCAUGACAAAAGUGUUGGAGGAUUUCCCAACAACAAUAUCCUAUGAACUGCUUCAAUUGGAAAGAAAGAAUUAAGGAGUAUAUGGAACGAGGGUAUGUCAACAGACCGUGACAAAGAAAUUUGGCAGGUAAGGAUUCUAGGUAAUAUGAAAUUGAGAAGUCCAAUUGAAAAAGAUGACUGGAGAAAGACGAUUGUUAGGAAUUGAGGAAGAUUCAGUUUGUUCUUUAUAAAAAAAUGAAAAAGAAAAAAUAGUGGAACCUGUGGAACCAAAAGGAAGAACAAAAGAUUUUGUAAAAUGGAGUGAAUAAGAUGAGUUAAAGGGGU